rnacentral:rRNA from 1 species
AUUGAACGCUGGCGGCAGGCUUAACACAUGCAAGUCGAGCGGAGAUGAGGUGCUUGCACCUUAUCUUAGCGGCGGACGGGUGAGUAAUGCUUAGGAAUCUGCCUAUUAGUGGGGGACGACAUUCCGAAAGGAAUGCUAAUACCGCAUACGUCCUACGGGAGAAAGCAGGGGAUCUUCGGACCUUGCGCUAAUCGAUGAGCCUAAGUCGGAUUAGCUAGUUGGUGGGGUAAAGGCCUACCAAGGCGACGAUCUGUAGCGGGUCUGAGAGGAUGAUCCGCCACACUGGGACUGAGACACGGCCCAGACUCCUACGGGAGGCAGCAGUGGGGAAUAUUGGACAAUGGGGGGAACCCUGAUCCAGCCAUGCCGCGUGUGUGAAGAAGGCCUUAUGGUUGUAAAGCACUUUAAGCGAGGAGGAGGCUACUGAGACUAAUACUCUUGGAUAGUGGACGUUACUCGCAGAAUAAGCACCGGCUAACUCUGUGCCAGCCGCCGCCGUAAAAC